rnacentral:lncRNA from 1 species
CAGCUUUAUACGACUGCAGAGUUCGAACCCUGAAUAGUUGGGGCAAGUAUGGACACAACAUUCAAGCUUGAUACAGCUCUGAAUUUGGAUUUUGAUUAAAUAGUUGACACAAUAUAGAUUUCUGACACAGAAUGAAUGUCGUCUAAGAACUUAAACUUAAAAUUUUAAAAUUGGACAAUUACCUAUUAUGGUCCAAUAACCAAAAUCUAAAUACAUGGUUAGAUUCAGCAUAUCAAAGAACCCCAAGAAUUCAAUUUUUGAUGAAAUCAAAUAAAGAUCAAUUUUGGACCUUUUAGACCUCAAGGUGGACCAAUUUGAUAACCGGGCCCAAAUA